GGCCCGGGGCAGGACUCAGAGCUCCCCCCUGAGCCUGUCCCCCCCGGCGGCGCAGGAGUCGGAGCUGGCGCGGCUGUGCCAGGCGCGGGAGCAGGAGCUGCGCUUCGCCCGGGCGCAGGGCGAGCAGGAGGCGGCGCGGGCCCAGCUGCUGGCCGAGGUGGAGGUGAAGAAGUUCCAGCAGGUGACGGAAGCCAUCGGGCCCGAGACCCUGCGGGACAUCGCGCUGGCCGGGCCGGAGCUGCAGGUGAAGCUGCUGAAGGGCCUGGGCCUCCAGUCGGCCCUCAUCACCGACGGCUCCUCCCCCAUCAACCUCUUCUCCACGGCGGGGGGGCUGCUGGGCAUCCUGCCCAGGCCCCCCCCGGGGCCCCAGGAGUGAGGGCCCCGCCCCCCAUGGAAACGGGACCCCCGUGUGCCUUACAGUCUGCAAUAAAGAUGGCAGCCGA